AUGGGAUGUGGCUAUGGAGGACCCUCUUUUACCCCUCCUGGGAAACCUGCAUGCUCAAUCACCUCCCUGAAAUGCCUGUACACCAAUGCACGCAGCUUGGGGAACAAACAGGAAGAACUAGAGAUAUGUGUGCGGUUGCAGGGCCAUGAUCUCAUUGCCAUUACAGAGACAUGGUGGGAUAGCUCGCAUGACUGGAGUGCUGUCAUGGAUGGCUACGUGCUUUUUAGGAAAGACAGGCCAGGAAAGCGAGGUGGUGGAGUUGCUCUUUAUGUGAGAGAGCAACUGGAAUGUAUUGAGCUGUGCCUAGGGGUGGAUGAAGAGCGAGUGGAGAGCUUAUGGGUAAGGAUCAAAGGGCAGGCUAGCAUGGGUGACACUGUUGUGGGUGUUUACUACAGGCCACCUGAUCAGGAAGAGGAAGUCGAUGAGGCCUUCUACAGACAGCUGGAAGUAGCCUCACAAUCCCAGGCCCUGGUUCUCAUGGGGGACUUCAACCACCCCGAUAUCUGCUGGAAAGACAACACAGCUAGGCACAAACAGUCCUGGAGGUUCCUGCAGAGCAUUGGUGACAACUUCUUGACACAGGUGGUGGAGGAGCCAACAAGGAGAGGUGUGCUGCUGGACCUCGUACUAACAAACAAAGAAGGACUGGUGGAAGAUGUGAAGGUCGGGGGCUGCCUUGGCUGCAGUGACCAUGAGAUGGUGGAGUUCAGGAUCCUGCGAGGAGGCAGCAGGGCACCAAGUAAGAUCGCAACCCUGGACUUCAGGAGAGCAAACUUUGGCCUCUUCAGGGACCUACUUGGAGUAAUCCCAUGGGUGAGGGCCCUAGAAGGAAGGAGUGUUCAAGAGAGCUGGUUAAUAUUCAAACAUCACUUCCUCCAGGCUCAAGAGCGGUGCAUCCCUAUGAGUAGGAAGUCAAGCAAAGGAGGCAGGAGACCUGCAUGGAUGAGCAAGGAGCUCCUGGCAAAACUCAACCUGAAGAAGGAAGUAUACAGAAAGUGGAAAGGGGGACAGGCCACUUGGGAGGAAUAUAGGAACGUUGUCAGAGUAUGCAGGGAUGCGACGAGGAAGGCUAAGGCCCGUUUGGAAUUAAAUCUGGCAAGGCAUGUCAAGGACAGCAAGAAGGGCUUCUUCAAAUACAUCAGCAGCAAGAGGAAGACUAGGGAAAAUGUGGGCCCUUUGCUGAAUGGGGAGGGUGCCCUGGUGACGAAGGAUACAGAGAAGGCAGAGUUACUGAAUGCCUUCUUUGCUUCAGUCUUGGGACCAGACUCUUUUCAGUGGUGCCGAGCGACAGGACGCGAGGCAAUGGGCACAAACUGA
ensembl:lncRNA